GACGAACGCUGGCGGCGUGCCUAACACAUGCAAGUCGAGCGAACAGACGAGGAGCUUGCCGCUCUGAGGUUAGCGGCGGCCGGGUGAGUAACCCGUGGUUAACCUACCUAUAAGACUGGGUAAACUUCGGGAAACCGGAGCAAUUCGGGGAUAAUUUAUUGUACCGCAUGGUUCAAUAGUGAAAGAUGGUUUUGUGGUGACUUAUAGAUGGAUCUGCGCCGCAUUAGUUAGUUGGUAAGGUAACGGCUAACCAAGGCAACGAUGCGUAGCCGACGGGAGAGGGGGAUCGGCCACACUGGAGGUGAGACGCGGUCCAGACUCCUACGGGAGGCAGCAGUAGGGAAUCGUCCGCAAUGGGCGAAAGCCUGACGGAGCAACGCCGCGUGAGUGAUGAAGGUCUUCGGAUCGUAAAACUCUGUUAUUAGGGAAGAACAAAUGUGUAAGUAACUAGGCGCGUCUGGACGGUGCCUAAUCAGAAAGCGACGGCUAACUACGUG
rnacentral:rRNA from 1 species